AUUGAACGCUGGCGGAAUGCUUUACACAUGCAAGUCGAGCGGCAGCGCGGGGCAACCUGGCGGCGAGCGGCGAACGGGUGAGUAACACAUCGGAACGUGCCCAGACGUGGGGGAUAGCCCGGCGAAAGCCGGAUUAAUACCGCAUACGAUCUAAGGAUGAAAGCGGGGGACUCGCAAGGGCCUCGCGCGUUUGGAGCGGCCGAUGGCAGAUUAGGUAGUUGGUGGGGUAAAGGCUUACCAAGCCUGCGAUCUGUAGCUGGUCUGAGAGGAUGAUCAGCCACACUGGGACUGAGACACGGCCCAGACUCCUACGGGAGGCAGCAGUGGGGAAUUUUGGACAAUGGGCGCAAGCCUGAUCCAGCCAUUCCGCGUGCAGGACGAAGGCC
rnacentral:rRNA from 1 species